rnacentral:rRNA from 1 species
AAGCGAGGCUGUGAAGCGGAGCAAAUCUCAAAACCGGUCCCAGUUCGGAUUGUAGGCUGCAACUCGCCUACAUGAAGUCGGAGUUGCUAGUAAUCGCGGAUCAGAAUGCCGCGGUGAAUGCGUUCCCGGGUCUUGUACACACCGCCCGUCACACCAUGGAAGUUGGGGGCGCCCGAAGUUGCCUAAGAAAUAAGGUACCUAAGGCGAAACCAAUGACUGGGGUGAAGUCGUAACAAGGUAGC